GAGGUUGUGGCUCAGUGGUAGAGUGCUUGCCUAGCAUGUGGGGGCCCUGGGUUCCAUCCUCAGCACCACA
rnacentral:tRNA from 1 species